CACUCAUGUUUAAAACCAGAUACUCUGCACGUUGUAGGCACUCAUCAGUUCCCUCAGCAUUUAGAGCGCUUUCCUUUCCCCCAAUCACUUACUAUACAUUGUAACCUUCUAAAAGAUUGUUAACUUAUGUUUGGGUGUGUGUUUGUGUGUGUGCAUGGGGAGGGGUAAUUUAAAGGCAAGACCUGUGAUAUGUCAUCAUACAUUAACUUCUUUUUAAACAUGGUUAUGAU